UACGUAGGGUGCAAGCGUUAAUCGGAAUUACUGGGCGUAAAGCGUGCGCAGGCGGUUGUGGAAGACCGAUGUGAAAUUCCCGGGCUCAAACUGGGAAUUGCAUUGGUGACUGCACGGCUAGAGUGUGUCAGAGGGGGGUAGAAUUCCACGUGUAGCAGUGAAAUGCGUAGAGAUGUGGAGGAAUACCGAUGGCGAAGGCAGCCCCCUGGGAUAACACUGACGCUCAUGCACGAAAGCGUGGGGAGCAAACAGG
rnacentral:rRNA from 1 species